ACGGGGUGCAGCAGGCGCGAAACCUCCACAAUGCACGCAAGUGCGAUGGGGCUACCUCGAGUGCCGCCUGAAGAAGGCGGCUUUUCCACUGUAUAACUAGCUGUGGGAAUAAGAGGGGGGCAAGACUGGUGUCAGCCGCCGCGGUAACACCAGCCCCUCGAGUGAUGGGGAUGAUUAUUUGGCCUAAAGCGUCCGUAGCCGGCUAGGUAAAUCUCUCGUUAAAUCCAGCGUCUCAAGCGUUGGGCUGCGAGUGACACUGCCAAGCUAGAGGGUGGGCGAGGUCAGCGGUAUUUCUGGGGUAGGGGCGAAAUCCAUUGAUCCCAGGAGGACCACCAGUGGCGAAGGCUGCUGACCAGAACACGCCUGACGGUCAGGGACGAAAGCUGGGGUAGCGAAUCGGAUUAGAUACCCGAGUAGUCCCAGCCGUAAACGAUGCAGGCUAGGUGUUGGGAUGGCCAUGUGCCGCCCCAGUGCCACAGGGAAGCCAUUAAGCCUGCCGCCUGGGGAGUACGGUCGCAAGGCUGAAACUUAAAGGAAUUGGCGGGGGAGCACCACCAGGCGUGAAGCCUGCGGUUUAAUUGGAGUCAACGCCGGGAACCUUACCGGGAGCGACAGCAGAGUGAAGGCCAGGUUGAAGGUCUUGCCAGACGAGCUGAGAGGAGGUGCAUGGCCGUCGCCAGUUCGUGCCGUGAGGUGUCCUCUUA
rnacentral:rRNA from 1 species